AAGGGAGGAAAAUCGAAUAAUACCGAACAUAGCAUGUUUACACGCGGGCUACAUUCAUCUUACAAUAACUGUAACCCCAACAAUCGUAUUGAAGAAAGAAUUUCCACAAAACCUUUAUAUCAAUUGUGUGUUCAUUACCCAAACCUGAACAUCAAUUUUAAAUGUUGAAAUAUAUAUGGUGUUUUUAACUUUUAUAGACGGGCUAUUCAAAACUAAAAUGAAGUUUGCUAAGCUGGUAGUGCCCAUUCUAUUUGUGUGUAUUUUCGACGGCCAAGCGUAAUGAAAUGAACUUUUGAGGCAUGUGAGGCAUCCGAAAUUAACUGUUUAACUGUCUAGUCUUAUGAAAGAUUGCUUUCCAUUCACGUACUUUAGGGUGGAAAUAUUUCACAAUAAUCCAUCAUUCCAGAAUUUACCUAUAUGCGUUGCACGAUUUUAGUUGUUUAUCACCAUUUUUCCGUUUCUAUUUAAUGUGCUUUCAUAUGGCGUUUCAAGAACAGCGCGAGUUGACGACAUAUUUUCUGAGCAUUGCUCUUUUUCUCCAUCAUUUUACUUAUAAUACGCAUUAUCUAUGUUCUUGUUUGUUUAAUUUGACAUUAUAGAAUAUUAGGCGAACAAUUAUGAAUCUACCGAUCUAUAUUGUUUUAACACAAGUUUGAAUGAUGCUCCUUUUAAUGACCACAGGUUUAAAGUACUUGCUGCUGUGUUUAGUCUAAAAGUCAUUUCUCUACAUAAUCCUAUUUAUUUUAGCCCUGAUGAUUAGUUUUUUCCCACCAGUUUAAAAAUCAUUAAAUAUACAUUUGACAAAUGUAUUACGUAAUAAUAUUUCUGGUAUCUUUUUUGAAUUUAUUUUUGUCCACAACUCAGCUUAAAUGUGAACUUCCAGAGACAGUACCUGAACUCGACGUUGACAAGUUAACUUACACAAAAUGGUACACUGGACUUCAGACAGAUGAUCCAGCUAGUAAUAAUGUGAAAUGUGAAGAAAUUGUGAGCAUGACAAAAACUAGCAAUGGAUAUGACUCGGUGUUGAGAAGCUACACUGAAAGCAAAAAAUUCGUCGAAUGGACCUCACAUUUGAUUCGUCAACGAGCGGGAGUGUUUAAAGAAACCCGAUUGGACGGCG